AACCGUAUGCGAUCACAUUGAC
rnacentral:miRNA from 1 species